rnacentral:hammerhead_ribozyme from 1 species
AUCCAGCUGACGAGUUACAAAUAGGACGAAACGCGCGUCCUGGGU